CAAUUUGUAUAUGAAAACUUUAAAAUAAAAAUAUAACAAGUAAAUGCAAGAAAUAAUCUAUAAAAUGUUGCAAAGAUAAACAAAAAUAAAUUGAAGACAUGAUAAGUAAUAUAAUGUAAAUAAAUGGAUGAGAAAGUCAAAUAUAUCAUCUUGUGUAAACUUAUUUCUUUUCAAAGCUAAAUAAAAGGAAAAAGGUACACCAUAAAAAUCACAUUCCAGUGAAGAUCUUCAAAAAUGCAUAAAUAUUUAAAGAAAUUUGUUUAAAUACCUACAAUAAGUUUUUAACCAGUAAAUUUAUUUAAAAAAAUACUUAACUGAUUAAAAAUUGUGUCUGUAUCUAUAUCAACAUCAGGUUAUUGUUUAAAUUGUUUCAGACUUGGUCAUGUUAGGGCAUUUCAUAGCAUACUGUAAGGUAUGGGUUUCACUCAUUGUUAAAGGUGGAGACAAGUUUGACAUUCUCAUGACAAUUUAUAUCUGUUUCAAUUUUCUUCUCAAGAAAAGCAAAAAAUAAACUGCUCUAAAAUAGUUGGUUAACAAGAUUAUUGUAAUUUUUGGUUUGGUUUUUAAAAGGCUAAUUUCAUGGAUAUAGAUAUUAUUUAGGAAAUAAAAUCCCCAAUGAAAAAUGCAAAAUUGGCUUUAAGGAAGGAACAUUUCUUUCUCAAAAUUCACAAAAAAACAUUCCAUCAUAUCAAUUCCAAGGCAAAACCGAAAAAAUUUGAACCUCCACCUUUCUUAAAAAUGUUGCAAUAGUAUUAUUUCAUCACAAAUACCAGUUAUUAAAUGUAGAAAUAGAAUAGAGUUAAAAGUAUUGCACAUUGAUAUAAAUGCUAAACUACUGAAAAUAUAAUCUUAAAUACCAUGUUUCCCACUCUGUAUAUAAGCCUUAUGUCAUCUCCGUUGUCAUCAAUGGAAAAUGAC
rnacentral:lncRNA from 1 species